UGGCCUAUCUUGUUGGUCUGUACGACCAGAGUAAUGAUUAAGAGGGACAGUCGGGGGCAUUCGUAUUUCAUUGUCAGAGGUGAAAUUCUUGGAUUUAUGAAAGACGAACUACUGCGAAAGCAUUUGCCAAGGAUGUUUUCAUUAAUCAAGAACGAAAGUUGGGGGCUCGAAGACGAUUAGACACCGUCCUAGUCUCAACCAUAAACGAUGCCGACUAGGGAUCGGCGGGUGUUUUUUUGAUGACCCCGCCGGCACCUUAUGAGAAAUCAAAGUUUUUGGGUUCCGGGGGGAGUAUGGUCGCAAGGCUGAAUAUUAAAGGAAUUGACGGAACGGCACCACCCCGCGUGGAGCCUGCGGCUUAAUUUGACUCUACCCGGGAAAACUUACCAGCUCCUCACAUAUUGUUGAUUCACACAUUUAGAGCUCUUUCUUGCUUCUAUGGGUGGUGGUGCAUGGCCUUUAUUAU
rnacentral:rRNA from 1 species